ensembl:lncRNA
ACUGUUAGGUGCUUGGGAAAUAAUAUUUAAAAAUGGCUUUGCUGUACCUCACUAACUGUUUUUAAAAAAAAUAUUUUGUCAACAACUGCAGGAUACCAAAUAAAAGUCAUGCAGCCAACCAAAAGAACAGCUUGGAUAUUUGCACUCUUUUUGAUAAUUUUUAUGGAAGAUACACUAUAUUUCACAAUACAUGGAAUUCUAUUUAGCUACUCUAGCUACAUUUGAUGAUCUGCAUUUUAGGAGUCAAACUUAAGACCAGUUGAAAGGCAGAGAGGCUGUAGUUAAAACUAGACAAGGGAGGCUGUUGUUACACUGCUUCUUGUUCUGUCUUAAACCUUUACCACCAAAAAAUCUCUGUCUUUGCAUACAGUACAUACAUAGAUUAUGUAUUUGCUCACCCACUGAGGUAAAACUUCAAGAUCAACUGUCUGUGGCUGGUCAUUCCAUAUUAUUAAUUUAGUUAGUCUAUAACUAGGCUUCAUCCUAGAUCCCGCCUAUACGCACCUAUAUAUUAAUCAACUAUACAGCCAUAUAUUAAUGUUAUGUUUUCCAUGGUGACUAACCAUAUGUCGGGGGUUCAGUCACAACUUGUCCGUUUUUUUGGGGGUGGGCUGGUUUAUGUUUAGAUUUUUUUCAGCCAUCUUCUCAGCAACUUGUUUUCUUGGGGCUCAUCUGCUGUUGUUUUCAUCUCUUCUGGGCCAGUAAUUACAGAAACAUAUCAUUUGUCUGGACAAUAGUACUGACUCAGGAUCAGCACUCCUACUGUGCGAUUGCAGGCCCUGAUGAAUUGUCCAUUUAUAAUUCUGUUGUUCUGUGCCGCAUUCAUUUUUUUUGUAUUCAAUUGAAUGGUAACGGUGCUGUACUGAACGGACGGUUGAAAGAACGGAGAGGGCCUGGGGGUUGGGGACAGUCAGCAUGGCAACUUGAAACGUGUUGUUCAGUACAAAACCGAUGCGAAACAUAGAAAACGUUCAAUUGAACUGGCCGCACCUCUGCUCUCUCGUCUGUCUCACUCUGCUUACUUUCUGUGUCACUCUUCCUGCUUCCUGUUUCAGACUCAGACUUCCAGGCCUUCACGGGCUGAUCUGAUUGGCCGUUGCCCAUCUGACCCCUGAGCCUGAGGUCAAAUAUCAAAUCUCCCAUGGUGCACCUUGUCUCUCAGCUCCGCCCACAGCGGCUUAAUGUUCCAGCUGAUCAACACUUUUCAAAGUUUUAUUUGGAAAAAAGAAAAAGAAAAGCAAACUGAUAAAAUCUAAUGUAUGUACUGUGUAUGUUUGAGUGUGUAUAUAGUUAAAUAAGGACUGGAUUCUUUGUCAAGUAUUUUGAGUCACAAACAACUAAUCCACAUUAAAUCAUUUACAUUUUAAAGUGUCUUAGAAAG